ensembl:lncRNA
GGGGGGGAGAGAGAAUAAAGGUUGGGGGGAGAGAGAGAAUAAAGGUUGGGAGGGAGAGAGAAUAAAGGUGGGGAGGGAGAGAGAAUAAAGGUGGGGAGGGAGAGAAUAAAGGUGGGGAGGGAGAGAGAAUAAAGGUGGGGGAGGGGAUGAGUGUUGGCCUGCCUGCCUGCUUGUAAGAGCGAGGGGGGGGAGAGAAGGGGUGUGUGGGCCUGCCUGCUUCAGCUGACCGGUGCUCUCAUGUCUCUCCUCUCAGCCCCAGAGCUCCAGAUAACUAGUGGAAGAAUGUUAAUGUCUCUGCUAUGUGGUGAACUGAACUCUACAGUGCCA